GCAAAUGAAGAAUUGAUUAA
rnacentral:snRNA from 1 species